ensembl:lncRNA
CUGGAACGGAUGGAGAGCAUACAGAUGCAUGUGAAUGGCAGACGACAGAAAAUGAAAGUGAUUUAAUGAAAUCACCACAACGUUGCAGUGUCGUCCUACGUGUCACUGACCCGUACUAGAUUGCCUAUUGCUGCUUUACGUUGACAGAACGGAUAAAUAUUUAACUGUCGCAGAGAAGGUGGGUGGCAUCGGGUCUCAGAGAAGAAAAUGACACUAGUUGGCCUACGUCAUGUGGCUGUGUUAUCAAUGGUGCGAUGACAGGGUAAUUGUUUAUUUUGUUCAUUUAAAAAAAGUGAGAGGAAAAAAACGUUGCUCCACAUGGUUCACUAACCGGGUCCGCGCGCGACAAUCACAUUGACAACCGAGAUGAGGGGCGGAAAAACUAGGCCUACCAUGUGACUGAAAUAGUGUAUGUACAGAGGAAAACAGUUUAGGAGAGCAUGAUAUCUAUUUACCAGGUCAGAUGAGGCAAGUGGCCAAGGGUAAGAUAUUCUGUCGCUAUGGCACUUUACGCGCGGACAUAAGUCAGUCGUUUCAGCACCAUGGAUAGCGAACGGAGACUCACGCAGGUAAUCAUAGAAAUGCGGUCGGAAAUCCGGAAAUUGGAGUUAGAGAACAUGGGGCUGAGAAGAGUUGGAAAGAAGUUAAGAAGGAGUACUACCUCCCCUACAUUAGUGGCCGAAUACAAAAAGAGCAUCGUCAUGACUGUGAGAAGAUAUUCCAUCUUCCAGUCCUUGGUCGAUCAUCAACCCAGGAGAUUUUAAUGUGACCAGGGUGCAGAGAGAGAGAGAGAGAGAGAGAGAGAGAGAUGGAAUAACCCUCUGACGGAGGCACGGUGGACACUGGACAGCAUAAUGUGACAUGUGAAGGGUGACAUUUACUUAGUUGUUCCGUUCAUCACCUGACCCUCGCCUGACCCUCAUCUUCUUGUGAUGUGUGUUUUGUCCUAUAUUUAAAUUUAUUUAUAUUUUUAAUCCCAGCCUCUGUCCUCGCUUGAGGCCUUUUGCCUUUUGGUAGGCCGCCAUUGUAAAUAAGAAUUUGUUCUUAAUGUUCUUAAACUGACUUGCCUAGUUAAAUAAAGGUUAAAUAAAUAACUAUAGCCUUGGAUUGAUAAGAGUGCAACGUUACCCUCUUGUGGGUGUUUACUGUAUUGCAGUUGAGGCUCAUUAUCACGCAUGUAGCCAUCACCGGCUUCUGUAAUUCUCUGAGCAAAUACCAACAGUAAUUGUAACACAAUUAUUUUUGUGCAUAGCCAAAAGAAUUAAAGUCAUUUCCCAUUUUUAGGGAAACAAUCUGAGGCAAAUAUGGGGGCCCCC